GCCUGAGUGGCUCAGUUGGUUGAGCAUCCGACUUCGGCUCAGGUCAUAAUCUCAUGGUUCACAAGUUUGAACCUUGCAUCGGGCU
rnacentral:tRNA from 1 species